rnacentral:rRNA from 1 species
AUUGAACGCCGGCGGCAGGCCUAACACAUGCAAGUCGGACGGUAGCACAGAGAGCUUGCUCUUGGGUGACGAGUGGCGGACGGGUGAGUAAUGUCUGGGGAUCUGCCCGAUAGAGGGGGAUAACCACUGGAAACGGUGGCUAAUACCGCAUAACGUCGCAAGACCAAAGAGGGGGACCUUCGGGCCUCUCACUAUCGGAUGAACCCAGAUGGGAUUAGCUAGUAGGCGGGGUAAUGGCCCACCUAGGCGACGAUCCCUAGCUGGUCUGAGAGGAUGACCAGCCACACUGGGACUGAGACACGGUCCAGACUCCUACGGGAGGCAGCAGUGGGGAAUAUUGCACAAUGGGCGCAAGCCUGAUGCAGCCAUGCCGCGUGUAUGAAGAAGGCCUUCGGGUUGUAAAGUACUUUCAGCGGGGAGGAAGGCGGUGAGGUUAAUAACCUCACCGAUUGACGUUACCCGCAGAACAAGCACCGGCUAACUCCGUGCCAGCCGCCGCCGUAAUAC